CCCAGGCCUUCUGGUUGAUGUGCCCUAGUUUUACUGGGUGAACUGGCCUUUGCCCGGGGCCUCCAUCUCACACACCUUAGCUUCCGGGCCCCCCCCUGCUGCUGUGGAUGACCGUCCAGUGGGGACAGGGUCCAGUCGCCCCAACACGAGUUCCUCAGAGAUCUCUCUGCCUCCAGAGGUCCCACAACCAAGUCUUUUUCAGAUCCCAGAAGAGUCAGGAUGCUUCUAGAGCAAUUCCAGGCACAAAUGACCAACAACACGGGAGGCCAUCCACAUGGAAACACCCUGUGAAGAUCUAGUGUCUCCUGCCCCAUCUGGACCCCUCCGAGCACCCCAACUACCCCUACUCCCCUUGCUCCCCAGAGACAUGACCCUCCAGCCCCUCAGAAACGUCUGGGGCUGGAUUCCUGAGCUCCUCACUGCGAUUCCAAACACUGACCGUAGAUAUCCACACUUCUUGCAGAACGAGAAGCAAAAUUUUAGCAUAACUAAUUUUAAUUUUUCUAACAUUUGCAGUUAUCCAGACAUUUUUAUCCAUUUAUAGUAAUCAUACUGUUCUUCUUUGUUAAAGUAAAUUUCACUUAAAACUAGUUUAAAAUAGGUCAAUGGAGCGUUCUAUGGGCAAGUGAGCCCAUAGAACCUUAUUUAAUAGUCUUAAGUUCAGUUACAUCAUUAAAAUUUAGAAAUUUUUGCAAUAUUAUUCUUAAUUCUGGUAAAAUACACAUAAAAUAGAAAACACCAUCUUUAAGUGUACAGUUCAGUGGUAUUAGCUACAGUCUCAUUGCUGUGCAACCAUCACUAACAUCCAUCUCCAGAACUUUCUCCUCUUGCAAAACUGAUAUCCGGUCACCGUUAAAUCCUAACUUCCCCUCCCCUCCCCCAGCCCUGGCACCCACCAUUCCUCUUCCUACCGUUCUACAUCAUGUGGCUCCUCCAGGGACCUCGUAUAAGUGGAAGCACACAGUAUUUGUCCUUUGUGACUGGCUUUCUACGGAGCAUCAUGUGCUCAAGGUCCAUCGGUGUUGUAACAGGUGUGAGAAUUUUCUUCCUUUUUAAGUCUGAACACUAUUCCGUUGCACUGACGGACACGUGGAUUGCCUCCACACUUUAGCUAUUUGUCAAGGGUGGAAUUUGGAGCAAGGAACAAGCUCUGAGUCCUCAGACCUGGCAGUAACUAAUGGCUAGGACUCUACUCAGGCAGAUGUUGCUGCAACUGUCCUAGUAAAGGACGCAGCCACUGUCCUGCUGUGACCGCACUGCGAUGAGCACAGGUUUCCAAGUAUCUGUUCAAGACCUUGCUUCCAAUUCUUUUGGAAAAAUACCUGGAAGUGGAAUUGCUGGAUCAUGUGAUAAUUCUAUGUUUAAUUUUUUGAGGAACCUCAAAGCAUCUGUACCAUUUUACAUUCCCACCAACUGUGCACCAGAUUCUGUUUUUCUGUUUUGUUUUGUUUUGUUUUGUUGCGGUACGCGGGCCUCUCACUGCUGUGGCCUCUCCCGUUGCGGAGCACAGGCUCCGGACGCGCAGGCUCAGCGGCCAUGGCUCACGGGCCCAGCUGCUCUGCGGCACGUGGGAUCUUCCCGGACCGGGGCAUGAACCCGCGUCCCCUGCAUCGGCAGGCGGACUCUCAACCACUGCGCCACCAGGGAAGCCCCGAUUCUAUUGUUUUUAACAUGCCAGUUUUGUGUAUGACUUUCAUACUAAAUGUUAGUUUAUGUUAUAUAUUGCUUUCAUUUUUAUAUAAAUUUUCUCCAGAGUAAGUCCUGAGUCCCGUUACAUCAAAUGUGACUUUAAGAAAAUAAUUAAUUUAACAUUAUUUAAUGUCAGUAAAAAUAGCUAAAUAAUAUAGUAAGGAAAAACCUCUAAUGUGUGACCUUUAUCAAGGGAAGAUGCAGGACAGAGUGUAUUUGGAAAAGCUACUGCUGAGAUGACAGCCACGCCAAGCUGAGGGUGUGGACAGCAGGGCUCCGGGGCCGCUGACUCAGGCUAGGGGUGGACUGUUCUGCACUCAGAAGGCCUCCCCGGCUGGUCUCGAUGCACAGCAGUACUUCUGCACACACCACCAGCAAGGGGCAGGGUGUUGCUGUCAUUGGGUGCUGCCUAAAUCUCUCUUGUUGAAAUAUAAUGUUCGUAUUUUAUCAGCAUCAUAAAGCAAUUAUACAUUUUCAAGCAAUGAGCAAGUGUACCAUAAGUAAACGUGAUUGGUUCUUCUGCCUUCCUCAGAAAGCAGUAUUAAAAAUAAUGUAUUUAUAUCGAACUUUUAAUUUUUAACUAGAUCUCAUUUCAUUAUCCCAUUUUUAUAAUAACCAUUGGAGUUUGAUAGGAAUUAUUUUCAUUUUCCAAAUACUUGACAAAGGCUGUGUCACAGUGAGAGGAGUGAUGAAAUUUCAUCUUGGAAAACCCAUUUUAAUGCAUUCUUUUCACAUACCAAAUUCAUAGGUUUAAUCAGGUUGAGAGGAACUGGCUUUUGUCAGGUAGAUGUGAAGGACAUUGUUGCACCAGGCUUCCUAAGAUGCUUUCACCAGGAUAAAGACUGCUGGGAUGGCACAGGUGGUGUGUCUGCUGGUGGAACCAGCAUUGGAGGUGGGAGGGGUGAUGCUUGUGACAUGGAGGGUAGAAACCAGGGGGUGGAGGGCAUCCUUGCUGAGAGAAAAAGACCCCACAGGAGGCUUCUGAGGAGGCCAGACUGGAGAGGUGACCUCCUGAGGGCCGUGGGAAGACAUCUCAUACAUGACAACCAGUGGUUUCAAAAGCAUCUGGUGCAUUGUGGAAGGAGGUGAGCCAGACCAUCGUCUUGACCCCAUUAGGAUUUUGCUAGGCAGGCAUUCCCCAUCUUACGGGCAGGUAGGCUGAGGCAGCCUCCUGUGAAGGCCUUGUUCCAGGUGGGCUGCCUGGAGGAGGCAGGAUGGUGAGGCAGCCUGCUGGCAAGCGCUUGGCAGGGGAAGUGGCACUGCUCUCCAGGGAGCCUGGCCUGGGAUGGAAAAGUAGGAAGAGACGUUCCCCAUCGUUAGAUGGCUGCUGUGCAGCCUGACGGUUGGCUUUUCUUUGUGAUUCAAGAGCCUGACUGAAGCACCCACCUCAAAGAGGGCAUCUGCUCCCCUGCAGGAGGUCUCCAGCAAACACACCGUGGCCACACUAGCGAGAGCCAGGCCGCUUCCUCUCAGAGGCUCCUCUGUUUGGAGGAUCCUGGUUGAUUUUGAUAACUGACCGUUUGGGCCACUUGUUUUUUCCUCUUCUCAUGCUUUACAUUCCUAUUCCUAUGUUUUAUCAAUAAAUUCACCAAUAAAGAGUGAGGCCUUGAAACCCUGGGCUCCCACCCUCAACCCCAAGAAAAGCAGAACCCAGGCCCAUGCAUUCUUUCUCUCUCUCUCUCUCACUCUCUCUACCUGUGACCUCGCUGUGUGGCCCCAGGUGUCCUGGGGUCCUGUAAAUAGUAAACCUUUAUUUUUUUCAAAGUUUCCUGAAGAUUUUUGCUGAAGGAUGUCUUGCGAUCAUAAUAAGAACCACAAGGGCCAGUGCAACCACAACAUUGAUUAUUGAUAGGCUGAGAUCAACACAAUAAAUUGGUGUAGUGAUUGCACUUGGAAUUAACCAAGGGUGAUGCUCUUUACCUGCAACUUGCUUAACAACCAUCUGACUCAGGUGAGUAACACCAUCUGGGGAAGGACCACUGCUUGGCGGGGGUUGCAAGCUGCUAUGUGCUUCUGCUUAUUAUCGCCUCUGUCGUGUGUUCCCGGUGGUGUUGAUCCAAAGAUCACGGCUGCCAUAACCAUCGGACACUCUCCCAAGAGCAGUGUGAUCAAGGCCAUCUGUCUAAUGACUAACUAUAACGGCCUUAGUUGACUAUUAAUGUGGGGAGGGUUCUCCAUGCCUUGAGGCCAAGAGGUGGAUUGGAUGGCAAGGCUAUUGUCAUGGUCCAAGGAGAGGCUCUGGGCUAAAGGACGUGAGGACAGGAUUCCGCAGGUGAGCAGGACGAGAGACCUCUGCCUUCAACCUCUGACUCAGUGAGUUGCGCCCGGACUACGUGUCCUAACCCAGAAGAGUGAAGUAACCUUGUACCCAGAAGCCAGUGGCACCACCGCUGACCCAGUGGGAUAUUAUGGAUCCAGUCCCUGGUGUGAUGUUGCUAAAAAAUAAUGGACAAAUAUAACGUCCGGAACACCUGGUGCCAGCACUUCCUAUGAACCCUGAGGAGGUGCAUCAGCUCCUUGACAAAUGCAAAACACCAUGGAAGGCUCCUGGGUGUUGCUCUGUGCAGGCCUGGCGGCCUUUCCCAAAGACUCUCUGCAUUGCCCAAUGGAGGCAGACCCCAAUCCCGGAGAGGUGUCUUGGGACACCCUGGAGAGGAAAGAGGCCGCCUAUGAAGGGGGCUCACAGUGACAUCAUCCCGAAUGUUCCAGUGGCAACACAGAAGAUUCAGGUAACAGGACAAAAUCAAAUAGGAACUGAGAUCAGAAACUACACCUUAGUUAAAAUGCAAACUUUUAUUGAAGAUUUUAUGCAGCAGAAAGGAGAGAGGGGAAUGAAUUGGCUCUUGUGGGAUUUUUUGUUUGUUUGGAAUGAGCUCUUAUUAUUCACAGCUGCCAGAGUGCACCAACUCGCUGGUAUCUCUAAACAUCUUAAACCCUAUAACAUUCUUAAAGUUCCUGUAAUUAGGAGGAGUAGCCUGUAAAAGUAAAUCUCUGGACUCAAGGUCAAAUAGGCCCUCCUCAGGGUUGGAAAUAAAGAGGGGGUCAUUAGGGUCACUACUGUCACGGAAAUGAUAAACCCAUUGGGCUUCUAAGGGUUAAGAAUUCUAAGUAAUAUAUGUUAUUAAAACGUCUAGAAAUAAGGAAACGUCUACACGCAAGGAAAAUAGAUGUGUUUUUGGGUACGAAACGUAUGAAGAUUUUUUUUUUUUUUAAGUAAAAAGAAAAUAAAUUUGUCCUAAAGUAAAACUGGUUAUUUCAGAAUGGGAAAUAGGAAAAUAAAGGACAAAAUGGGGUAUACAGUUGGGAAGAGAGAGAGAAAAAGAAUUUUAUCUUGUGUAGCAAAGUUGGGUAAACUUGGAUCAUUAUUAUAAGGUGGGUGUUUUUUUUUUUUUUUAACCUAAGUUUUAAUAGCAAUAGUAUGCUUAUGUAAUUUUCUUUCAUCAGCUGAAAGGACAAAGUUUUCUUGGAGUAUUGGUAUGCUUCUGAUAGAUUACAGAAUGCUUUUCUUUACCAUAAGUAAUCUGGCUAGAAAGCAAAGGUUUUGUGUUUUAUCAGAAGAAAUCAUGCUAAAACUUCUUUAUGGAUAUUCUUGUAUGGAUAUGUGUUAUUGAUAUGUGUUCCAGAAAUUAUAUGAAAUUCCUAGAAAUCUUAUAUGUAUGUUAUCAUUUGUAAUUCUCAUUAUCAUCUUAAAAUGUUGUAUGUCACAGAAAUAACCAAAUUUCCUUGCCAACUGCAUUAUAAUGAAUUCUCAUUAGAUAUUUAAUCAUGAUCAUUUCUAGGUCUUUUGUCAUUUACAGUUAUUGUUUUACUCUGACGCUUUUUACAGAUGCGUUUCAUAUUCAGAGAUUUUCACGGAGAGGUCUCUGACAAGUAUUCUGGAAGAUAGGUUUCUGGUAAUGCUCAGAUCACACCGCUGACCUGGGUAGGAGUUUACGUGACACUAUAUUCAUGAAACUGCCAACCACAGGUCAAGGUCAACGAGAAUUAAUUACCUGGGAGCGAAUGAACGGAUGAGGGUCAUUACAGUUCUGUGACUUUUUUUGAAACACUGUUGGUUCUUUAACCUUUUGUUUUUUCCAGAUUUAGGGAAUCCUAUUCUCUUAAGCUAUCUAUGAUUUACAACGAUUUGGUAAAGUAUAUCUUUGUGAACAAAGGUGAAACAUUUAUCUUUUUCUCCCUACAUGAUCCCUCCAGAAUUAGAAAACGCUCAGUGAGUCUUCUUAUUUUCAUGGCAAUGUAGUUAUUUGCAUAAGUUCAAUAAGAUUCUAUUCUCCUUGUAAUAGGACACCAUUGGAAACAUUAUUUAAUUCCCAAGACUUUGACUGGAAGGUAUUAUUUGAGAAUGUGCAUAGACUCAGAUAUGACCAGACAGUUUGGAAAACCAACCUAUAGCCUGCUUACAGGGUUCCUGGCUGCCUUAUCAGGCCUCAGCUCUCCAAACUAAUGUUUCCAGUUUUUCUCCCACCCUCUGACUUGGAAUCAUUGAGAACUAAACCCGCCUUUUUCCUGAAGCCAUGCAAGCUGAAGUUGGACACUUUGAUAUAAGCUUAGAGAAGUCACAGCAGUUCACGUUGCCGCAGCAGCUUCAUGCUUGUUGCUGUGUGGCCACUCAGAAAGACCACCAGAGACAUUCAAGCUGCAAGCAGGGAAAAGAUGUCAGGUUGCCACUGCCUGCCCUCACUCCCUCUGGAGAUGCUUCGAACCCCACAUCUAGAAGCCUUACCUGGCUGCUUUCAGGACUCAGAAACCGGGAUUAUAGUCUGCUCCAAUCACUAACCAUUGGUUUUCCUUUGUUUCCGUAGAAACACCUUUUAUUAAAAACCUGAUGCAAGUAUGUGCGCCAUGUAGGCCUAACUUGGGGAAGCCACCUGCAUCGCCGCUUCCUGAAAUGAGACACAGCCUCUACUUGAACUGACCUACUCUCUGGACUAAGAGAGGGUUCAAUGAGAUAAAGACAACCCAGCAACUCAGGACAGGUUCAAACCUUCUUACACCAGGUGGCCAAGACAAUGAAGUAGUCCACAGUGGCACCCAAAUCUUUGACCAGGUUCCUCGGGCCCCCAAGGUCACUGACUUAGUUUUAUUGCAGGACACUUCAAAUUUGGGACCGUGGAUACAGACGAGAUUUCAGACUGCUGUCUGUGUGUUUAUUAUAGGAUUUGGGACUAGAAUCCUAUUUAGAUAUGUGCUUUCUGAGUUACAAUGCACCCUACCCCUGACUUAGCACAUCAGCUACGGAGGCAGUUACAUUCUCACCACCCUCACCUUUGACUCUGAUGGCUUGGCAUCACAGGCUGGGUGGUAGGGUGAGCCCUAACAGGUGGGGUUUUUCCUUUUUGUAACGCAAAUGCAUAACUUAAGCUUUGAUUGCCCAGGCCCCCACUUCAGAUAGGGCAUCAGCUUCAAGGAAGGCUACCUGGGAAAAGCACAUUGCUAUUAGCCACGCCAGAUACAGAGCCAGGCCACCUUCCCCACUGAGGUGGCUUUGUUUGGAAGAUCUUAUUUAAUUGCAGCGACUGACCAUUGGGGCACUUGUUUUAUUUUCUCUUUCUGCACUUUAAAUUCCUGCUUUCAUGUUUUAAAUUCACCAGUAAAGAGUGAGCCUAGGAAAACCCCAGGCCCCCACGCCAAGCCCCAGUAAAAGUAGGACCCCAGGCCUGUGCUCACAGUAUCCUUCUCUCCCUCCCUCCCUCCCUCCCUCCCUCCCUCCCUCUCUCUCUCUCUCCACCUCUCUGUCUCUCUAUCCCCCUGACCUCGCAGUGUGGCACCAGGUGUGCUGUGUAAUUUCCAGGUCCUGUAAGUAAUAAACCUUUAGUUUUUCAAGUUUCCCAAUAGUUAGUGCUGAGGGGUGUCUUGCCAUCAUAAUGAGAACCACAAGGGCCGGUUCAGCCACAGUGCUGGUUAUUGACAGGCUGGGGCCAGCACACAACAGCUAUUAAGAUUCCUUUUUGGUAUUUGAAUGAUCAAAUGACUAAUGUUAUGUGGCCUAUGUCGUGGGUUUGCACAACGUUUGGCACAAAGCAAGAAUGUGAUUGUGGUCCACCCAAGCCUCGCUGCAGAGGGGUGGUCUAAACAAAUUCUGGAAUAAACAGUUUCUGCUCUUUUUGACAUUCUGUUUAAGGGCAUUCUUUUCAGAUGUGGGAGUGCAUUCUGUGUCGUUAGCAGAACUGACUUUGUAUUUCAGACUUUGGGAGGAAGGUGCCUGGGUGUUUUCAUAGUAAAGGUUACUAUUAUUAGUUUUGCAAAUGGUUGACUGAUAAACAGAGAAAAGGAUGAAAUUUGUGGGAUAUGCUAACACCUACAGAUGCAUCCGUCUGGAAGGAAGGGUUGAAGUGGGGUACGGACAACUCAACAUUUGAAAAGAUAGCUUUUUCACAUGUCUAGCAGGAAUCUUCGUGCUGAUACUAUUAGACUGAACCAUAUUAAAUUACCAAUAUUUGACUGUCUUUACCCUACAAAAUGGCAGCUCCAUACGGCUCAACCAAAUAUGUUUUUCUAAAGAGGGAGCAGUAAUACACAGAUCCAGACCCAUGGACAACGCCUGCCUUUCUGCCACCCUUGCUUUCCUCUCUGACUUCUUUCUUUCCACUUUCUGAUAAAAACUUUAUUUAGUGCCAGCUUUGUUUCAGGCUUUAAUUUUAGGAAUAAUGUAUUUGAUUGGUUUCUUCUGUAUGUUCCCAACUUAACUUUAAUUUUACUUCUAUUGACAACUUCAUGGUACUCUGACACACUGCCGGCACAAGAGCUGGCUCAUGAAGGUACAGGGUAUCGGGAGAGCCAAUGAAGAUUCUGGUUUUGGUCUGGGACACGUCUCCAGUGAUGGCGCUCCUGCUUUGCCAUUUAGGUUUUGAGUCAGUUGCGGUGUGAGACCUCAAGUUACGAAACUAUGUAUGUCACAUUCACUGACCACACUCCGUUAAAUCUGCCCUUUCCUCUGCAGUCCUUUAUUUGAGUUUUUCAACAGAGGACUAAAAAAAAUGAAUGGAAGCAAUUUAAUUCCUAUGUUUCCCUGGCAAAGAUAAGAACAUAAAGAUUCCAGGAGAAGAACUGAAUGGUAACAAAGCUAAUGUCAAUAUUGAAGAGAAAUGUACAGUUUGGCUCGGAACAAGUGCUUGUCUGUAAGUUUGGAAUUAAUGGCAAGAAAAGUGAGGUUGCGUGGAAAAGAUGGGCACUUACGUGAAUGCUUCAAGGAAGAGUGGGGACAGACGAGGAGGAGCAGUGGGGCAGUUGGUGAUGGAGCAGAGACGUGUAUCCAGGCGCAGGUGUUGGGCACUCAGAUGUGACCCUGAGGCAGCUCGCCCGAGGAGGGGAGACCAUCCUACCCCUCCUCUGCCUCCUCUUUUUUUUGCCAGCGUGUGAAGUUGCGUCAAUAGCAGAUGUAUAUUCUCCAUACAAAUACUUUCAACCCCCGAGUCUUAGAAAACGGGGCAUCCUAACUCUCCACGUGCAGGGUCCAGGGCACGUGGACACAACCUCCUGGCAUUUCUGUCCUGGCAGCAUGGCUCCACUCGCCAGCGUCUGGAGGCAGGUGUUUCAUUGCACCGCUGUCGCUAGAUUACCACUCUCAUCAUCAGAGUGACCAGCUCUUCUCUACUUCUGCUAACGUUUUAAGGAAGUACGUUGGUCAGGGGCGCCCACGCUGACCAGCCACAUGGCCUGGGUGCCUUCAGGCUGUGGGCCACUGUGGGCAAGCCUGGGAUGUGAACUCGGGCUGCGACCCUGGGGCCGUUAAUGGCUGUCACGUGUCAUUGGAAUCGCAGUAGCAGCUGUUUAUAGAGAGAUGCUCCCAGUUGAAUCACUAUGUACUAAAUUUGUAGUUACCCAUCUGGAUAACAGAACAAGCUAUUGGCAGGAAGAAGAGGAAAAUUACACAAAUUUAACAGGGCAAAGUACGCAUGCCGCAUAUACUUUUCGCUCUGAAAUGCAAGAUUCAGUAAAGAUGAUUUCCACGUUUGGAGCUUGGCCUCCGGUGGGUUUAGCAUCACCCUCCUCUGAUGUGGUUCUUGUUGGUAGCACUCUGCUCCCCAGUCUCGGACUUUUCAGUGUUUCUCUCUGGGUGGCUCCGUCAAGUCCCCAUCAUGCUGUAGCAUCUUCCUGGAAAUGUCUCCUUUUUGACCAAGACUCAAGCUGCUGCUGCCCUUUGUCUGCUCUCCUGCUGCAGCCUUUCCUUUAUAUAAUGAUCUUCCGACGUCCAACAGUCUCCUAUUAUCCAGAAAGGACCCUGCUUUUGUAAUUUACAAAUAUUUACUAGCCACCAAGAAAACGCCAAACUUUCCACUAAAGAACUGAAACUUUGCCUUUGGACCCGGAGAGCCACACACAUGAUGGUAGGACAGAAGUACCCGGGCACGUCAAAUCACAUUCUAUCCUCAAUGAAUAAGCCCUGGGUGACUGAAAUACAUCACAGAUGGAUGAGAAAAUAUGAAAACAAAAAUACCUUCCUAAGUGAAACCAUACUGAUUUACCUUCUGUGAAAUAAGUGAAGUAGGAUGUUUCUUUCAAGGAUAUGGAAUGAAUCCAUGCAGUUUGCUAUAGUUGUUUUAAAGUAAACUAUAUUUUAAAAAUUUUGCGGGGGGGAUAACUAAGUUGACCAUUUUUCUUUCUGAAUGGAUAACAAAUAUUUUGCUCUUCAAAAGAGGAGAAUUAAUUAGGAAAAUCAAUAAGCAAGCCAUAGAACGGGAGAGAAUAUUUACAGUGCAUAUAUCAGACCAAAAGCUUGUGUCUCAAUAAUAUAAAGAACUACUAUAAUUUAUCAUAAAAGACAAACAACCAAAAAUGGGCAGAAUAGUUGAAUAGGCACCUCACAAAAGAAGAUACGUGAAUGGCAAUAUGAAAGGGAAAAUUGCUCAAUAUCACUAAUCAUUAGGGAAAUGCAAAUUAAAACCACAAUGAGAUACUUCAAUACACAUUAGAAUGUCAAUAACUUAAAAAGAUUGACAAUACAGCGUUGUCAAGGAUUUGAUCCUAACUCUCAAAUAUGGCCAACAGAGUGUAAAAUGGAAUAGUCUGGGAAAAUGUUUGGCACUUUUUCAAAAAGUUAAACAUGCAUCUUCCCUGUGUCCCAGAAAUUCCACUCUCAGAUAUUCAUCUAAGAGAGAGAACAUACAGGUCCACAAAACACCUCAUGUGAGCAUGGUCAUCGAAGCUUUGUUCGUAGUAUCAAGAACAAGAACAAGCCCUGAGGUCCGUCACCAGGAAAGCGGAGGCGCUGUGGUGUGUGUAUACAGGGGAUACUUCUCACCGAUACAGGCGUACGCUUCUGAUACGCGUAGUAACGUUAAUGGAUCUCACCUAUUAUGCUGAGUGAAAGAAGCCAGACGGAAAAGAGUACACAGUCUAUGACAGACAUUACAUGAAGUUCCAGAAGAAUUCAAAAAAAACUAUGACAAGAGAAAUCAGACGGCAUCAGGGGCCUGUCUGGGUAGGGACAGAGGCACCUUCUGGGGUCGUGGACACCUUCUGUCACCCGUGUGGGUUCCUUGAGUGAAUGCAUUUGGAAAAGAGAAUGUGCUUCUAUAUGUAAUGACGUCUCAAUAAAAUGUUUCCUAAAAGAAAAACAGACACAGAUGUGUGUGCAUAUUUCCAGUAAUGGUUGGGGAAUGUGACCAAACAACAAUUUUAGUGGUAAAACUGGAUCUAACUUCUGCAAUAUUUCAUCCAUUUGCUUAUUUAACAGCUCGCAUCCUGCACCCGCUGUGCUCCAGACCCUGUUCCGGGACUUGGGAGACCACGGUGCAGUGGGGACGUACAGUUCUGGAGCUGGCAGCCAGCCUGAGGACGGGCUUCCUGAAGGGGGCUGGGCUCCCCGCCUCCAUCUCAGUGGGAGACUUUGAUGGCAUCCGGGCUGCUCACCUCAGACAGCUGGGCUCAUUCCUCCAGAGCAACGACCAUGACUCUGUCCUAGGGGUCUUCAUGAUGAUGUUUUUAACUACCCUGCAGCCUACCAUUCAAAAACCAGAGCUCUAAUUCCAUCAGGUGUAAGUGCAAAAAAUAGAUUUUGAUGAGUGAGCAUUCCGGAAAAGAGGUAAGAGAAGUAAAUGUAAUAAGUAAAAAUUAUGCAAAGGGGAAAUUCAAAAUGUUGAGUAAUUUUCUACCCCAAAUAUUCCGACACCAUUUUAAGCUUCUUAACUCUGGGGCUAGUGCUGCCUUCCUCUCUCUGUUGCUCAAAUAUCACUGCAGUUGGCUGUGUGCACACGGGCCUUCCUGCUACAUCUCCUGUCCUUUAGUUUAGUUUGUUUACAGAAUUGUUCUGGACGGACACGUGGGUGCACCUCUUUCUUCUCCACCCCAGGAACGCCUUUCUAGGUUGGAAGGCCCACACUUCUGUUCACGUUUUCUGAGCCCUUGCUCUCUUGUCUUUACAUGAAAACUUGCUUGCGUCCCUGUCCUGUCCUUUCUAACGUCUUCAGUCCUUGAUGCUAAAGGGCCGACCGAACAACAUUCAGGCAAGAGUCAGUGGGGCUGGGUCCCAGGAGCACAGCGCUCACACAGGCCCUUCAGAACCACAGGCCUGCACGGCGUUGCUGGCGCAGGGGUCAGCAUGGCCCGAAGGCCUUUUGUUUCCACGUUGCCUAAAUGUUCAUCUUCUCCCCACGUGUGAUGGUGUGUCUGCUGUGCUGCACCAGAGGAAAUCACCACUUCAUGCAUGUUUUUCUUUUGCCUCAACAGAUUCAAAUGUUAUGAGGUUUGUCAGGAAUUCCCUUGAGUUUGUACCAAAUCUUUGUAUCUCUUUUCCUUCAUAUUAGACAAACAUGUUUGACAUAAACUAUUUCAAGGACUGCAAAUAGAGGAGAGCUCUGAAUGGAUGGCUUUUACUUUAUGGAGAGUUAAUAAAUCUCAGAAAAUAAUAAUCUGGGCAGGAUGCAAUGAAGCUGAAUAGUUAAUCUGCAUAGAAUCAAGUAUGUGAUAUGGAGCCCACGUUCCACGUGGCAGAGUCCCAGUUCCAGACAAUCACCGCCCAGACUGCCAAGAAACCAGGACUUGGGGAAACUAUGUCAGCCUUUGAAACGAUAUGAGCUGUAGGCGGAUUAUUGACUAAUCAUAGAACAGGUGGCUCAUUUAAAAAUUCUUCUUAUUUCAAGCGAGUGAUAAUUUUUGUAUUGGUUGUGAAUCUUAAGGGCAUAGAAAGGUGGAAGAAAUAUUGGAAAGGGAGUUAGUGCUGGCACAAGAGUUUGCUGUGAUAACACUGCAGAACGAUCCGCAUACCUGCUGGCUCCGUGCUCCUGGGCAGUUGAGAGUCAGGCGGAGGUCCCUUCACCUGGGGCGCACAGCCACCUGGAAUGGCUCUUCCUGGGUCAGAGGGCAAAAGUGCAAGGUGUCCAGCAAACUCUGCCCUUUGUGGCCUUGGCCAGCAUCACGUCUCUCCAUAUUCCAAGGUAUAUCACAGGACCAUGGCCAAUUCACCUCUCCCUGUGGAGGCUCAGUGGAACUCCAGGACUGGGGGCUGGGGGCACAGUUCUCCAGGGCACAGGAGAGCUGUCUGAGGCCUACGCGCAGCUGGGUGUGAAGGCGUGUGGCUUGGAUGAGACAAUAUUUGUGCACAAACCGCUUUUCUCUGUGAUCCUCACGUGUGUCCGUGUGACAGUAAGGAGCCACAGCAGCAGUGCAGCCACAGCACAGCGACCCUGUUCCCUUCCCAGAUGGCAGUGAUACGGAACAGGAGAAAUACUUGUCCAACUACUGCUACUAAUAUUAGAGGAAGGAAUGAUUCCGUUGAUUCCUGAUGACCCUCUGCUCGGUUAUGGAUCCCCAGCUGUCCUUGCUGUACCUGGAGUUGGGCUCGGUUCCAUGCUGAGGUUUCUCUCCCCUACUGCAGUAGCUCAGGUAAAAUCUGUCCUGUCAUUCCAACAAACGUGCAGCACAUUUUAUAUAUAUAUGGCAUCCAACUGAUGUGUUCGAAGAUCACGUAUGUGCUGGUGGCGUAGACAUCGAUUCUUUUCUUCAUUUCCUUAAUGCCUGCUGGAUAUUCCCAUCUGUCACCCCACACGCAAUCCAAACGGACAUCCUAAUCUGGACUCAUUAUCUGUCAUCCCCAGCCGGCCUCUCUCUGGGUUCCAUUCUGUCAGUAGCCCCAUCACCCAUCCAUUCACCAAGCUGGAGACCUCAGAGCCCCCUUGGGCACCUCUGUGCUGGGCCUCACCUCCACCCCGAACAUUUCUCAGUAAACAAAAUUAUUUUAAGAGAUUAGUUACAAGAUUAUCAAAGUGAAUUUAAGAAGCUAGAAACGAGCUCAUCCAUUGAGUGGCCACAGCAAAACGCCUCCCACAAUUGCAGAAGUUACCAUGUUUGGGCCCAGCAAGGCAAAGGGGAUAGAGGAGAUGCCUCUUCUGUGCUAUUGAGAGGCAUCUAUCCGCUGACACAGAGACAAGACCAAUCCAGAAGACUGUUAAGUCAAAAAGCCCUUAUUGCAGAAGGAUGAUUCUGUGUAUAGACAUUAGUAAUUGUUAAAAACCCCUGUAGAAUCCCUGAAGAGAAAUUCGUGGAAGAAAAUAAUUUGUCCUGAAGGCGGUACCAUAACAAGCAUCUGGAUGAAUAUCAAAAGCAGUGUUUGAAACAAAUGAGGUCGAUGGAAACCCCACCUGCGUCUGUCUGUCUACCAUUCCUGUGGGUGCAGUAAGAGGAGAUGGAAGGCUCUGAACCAAGAGUUCACUCUGGAAACCCAAGGUUCAAGGAGUGCACAGUUUUAAUCACAUAAAGAGAGAAGCUCUUUAUGUUAAAAAUAUUCCUGUAGCUCUAAUUUCCACACUACACGUGUUAUCUAAAUGAUGAAUUAGUAAAAUCCAAGCCAUCGCUGUCCAUCCAGUUUUAUCUUUAUGAGAGGAAAUGUAAUCUGAAGACCACUCGAAUUUCUAAGCUGCCUGACUGCUUAAGGAAGUUUAACCAAAUGUUUAUAAGAAAAAGAACGAAUUAGGAAAAAAAAAAAAACGUGACAUUUUGUGAGCUAUUCUUACUUUGAAGAUUUGUUUAUGAUAGUAGUGUCUUAUAAAAAUUGUUCACUUAAUUGACGUAUGUGAGGUCCAAAGUGUAAACAAUUGAAAUAUAUUAACAUGUAGUGAAAAAGUCCACAAAUGUAAAGCAAAAGUCCAGCUUUGGAAAAGUAAUGUUAAAGAUGGCUUUGCAGUCAUGUGUGGUUGGUGUUAUAAUUUGAAGCCAAAAGAACAAAAUUAGUAGAGAAACAUCUGUAUAUUCUUGUGGAAGAGUUUCUUUAUUUUGAAAUAGUUGAAUUUAAAAGUUCUGCUGAAUUAGAAAUCCUUUUGCAUCAUCAAAACAAAUCUCAACUACGUCAGUCAGUGAGAGAAAAGCAAGUUAGAUUCAUAAAUGAUCACACAUUUUAAGUCUAUUUUAAUGAGAUCAAUUUUUCCAAUUUUGUUUAAUGGCAAGACAGGACAUUCAGUCAAUUAGAGGACGAAGUGAUACCUUGUCUGCUCAUGAGUACAAAGACUUGUUUUUUAAGCAAUGGUGAUUAUCAGAAUGAUUCGGCAAAAAUUCUGAGUCAGAUUCCUGUAGCCAAUUUGUUUACAAAGCCUGAUAUAAAAGAGUGAUAUUUGCAAGCACAUGCUAAAGUUUUCAUUUAAAGUUUGAAACUAUUGUUGUUGGAAGUGUUCCAGCUCAGCAUUUAAGGAUCUCUCUAAUGUUUGAUGUUUCACUUUUCCCUCAAGGUCAUAUAAUAUAAAGAAAGGAGGAGUGCGUUUUCGCUUGCCUCGCCCACGUAGGUGCUCCUGCGUCCCCCGGUUCACCCUGGGCGCCAGCCAGCCAGGCGUUUCUGUGUUGUGGCCGUGUGGAAACUUGGGAGGCCCAGGGCACGCGCAAAAGCAGACCUGCCUUGUGGCCUCCCUGCCGCCUUCGCAGCACAUCCGUCCCUCCUGGCCGGGAUCGCAACCACCAUCCUUGAACAGUCGCCCCGUUCCCAUAGCGCUCCCCGCACAUGAGAGUCCCCAGCUUCAGAGCUCAGCCCAAGUGUACGCUCCGCUUGCCCUCCCCGUCCUGGGACCCCAGCCGCCCCCCUCAGCUCUGUCCUCCCGCAGCCCACGAACUCCUUGAAGCAAAGGCUGGAUGUCACGACUCUGCAUCUCCAGCUGCUACGCAGGGCGGAUGCCUGCAGUUCGGUUCUGUUUGCUGAGCCGGGUGGGCCGGUGCCCGGCGCUCCACACAGCCCCACCACGCAUGUGGGAGAGGCCAGCUCUCUGGUCUUCCGGCUCCAUGUUUUUUCUCUAAGUGACAGAGCCUGCUUUUAAAUAAAGCACACCUCACUGGGAGGCCCCAUAUAUGAAAACAGAUUUGGGGGGCAGUUCAGGUAGCAGAGGGAGUGGGGACCCCAACACUGCCACAUUCUCCCUCCCACCUGACCCAACACGCGAGGACUCAGGGGCUCAUGAGUCCAGGGAAAUUAAGCUUCCCAUUUGCCCAGCCCAGCUCAGGGGUUCAGCUGUCACGGCUACCGCUGGACUGCACGGGGCCCGGGGGCCGUGAGCGUCCACAGCCCCACCUCCGGCUGCAGCCGGGAGGCUCCGGGCCAGAGCUCCGCUGGGUGGGGAGGACGGCGCAGCAAGGCGGGUGCUGGUGCUGGCGUGGAGCCGUGCUCUGCACCACCCGCCUCACCCCUGCAGUUCCAGUUUCAGCUGGGGCGGAGGGAAAGUUCCACGGCGACGACUAAUCUCGUCUUUAAAUUUCCAUCUGUAGUAACAACAACAGUGCCUAACCCUAUAUAGUGCUGCUGGGUGACAGGCACCAUCUAAGACAUGCCUCUGUCCACAUAUUACCUCAGCCAGGCCUCCCGCCUAUUCUCGACCCCACGUUAUAGCCACGGACACUGAGCCCAAGGCAGGUGCUUGUGGCCUGAGAGCUGGAAGUGGAGCCAGGGCAGCCCGGACCUAGGGUGCAGGCUUGUAGUCACGACGCAAAGUGGAGAGCCCAGAAAGGUCUCCAAUGAGCAUUGAUGAGGGAUUUCACGGCAGCAGAAGGGAGCCGUGGGCUCACUACAGUCACGUUUGAGGUUUUCCAUUCACUCAGGAUUGAGGCAAAACCAGAAACAUUCAAAAACGUGAGAAGCAGGCCCCAAAGCUAUGGUCUGCAUGUGACCCCUGCUCUUCUGACGGUGAUGUGGUGUUUUUAAUCAGCCCAGCUCCAGCCCAUCAUGGUAAGCUUGCGUUGUCUGCAUUUGAAGGUGCUGAUGAUUACAAGCCCAUGCCUCCCUGUGCGCCCAGCCCUCUCCUAGGCCCUGACUUAACCCCCUGCCUGAGCCUAUGGGGGGAGCAGAGAACUAGGGGAGCCCUGGGGGCGGGUAACAGCCUCUGCUGCAUGCAAGGGGCCUCUGGCCCUUGUUGGUCACCGACUCUCCCAGAGGAGAGGGGAGCAGAAGACAAGGUGAGGCAGGAUGGGCCUGUGCUGCUGGCUGGUGGCCCCAAUCCAAGACCAAGAGCAGCGCUGGAGUCUCACCCGGAAAGCGUCCGCCCUCCAUGGCCGUCCACAGCCAUGCAGGUCCUUUUCCUAGAUUUCACCUCCCACAAGGUCUGGUUGCCUCAAAGAUUCAAAGUCUAAACCACCACAGACCAAGGGCCUGCCCUCCCCCAAGGACAAGCUGCUCCACUGGGAGGGCGCUGACCUCGGCCCGGGAUUCCGAGAUGCGGCUGGAACACGGGCAGCCCUGCAGGCUCGGGCAGCAUCACUGCACCGGGCGGCCAACGUGAUGCCCAGAAACGCUUCUCCAGUUUCGCAGGAAGCCCAGUCACAUCUGGGGGCCCCUGAUGCCGUCCACCGACACCUGUGCUGCGAAUGCCCUGAGCCACAAACAUGGGCUCCUGGAGGACAGCGGGUUAUGAAAUCUCACUGCAGAGCGUUCGUCCAGAGGAACCCAUCCUUAAAUGACCUGUGAACUGGGCAGUGACGGGUGGGCGGAGAGCACGUAACAGACGCGUGUAGACAUGGUUUUCUAUUCCAGCGAUGAUGGCAGUUAUACCUGAGUCUAAGUUAUUAGCCUCAGGAGAGCAUAUUGUGAGGACACAGAAAGGCGUCCUGUGAAACCUAUGACUACAGACCUGACUGACACAGUUGAGGGGUGGCAAAGGCUCAGGUGAAAUAUCGUGUCUUUGUUUCGUUUUAGCAGAAAUGUCCCAACCACGUGUGGAAAAACACAUACGUGGAAGGCCUACCUGGUGGGUGUGCAGCCGACUCCUUCAAAGACAUUCUGCUUCCGAGCUGGUGUUUGAAUGUGCAUUUCAGGGGGCCACCUAGGAUGUGACAACAACAGCCUCUCCCUGACCCAGAAACACCACCCCAGCUGAUCAUGGAGCCCACAGUUCUACCAAAGCUGGCUGAACGAGGAGUAGCAUGUCUCUGUGGCCCCCACUGUUUCCAGCUGUGCCAUCGCCACUGGAAUCGACUAAGAUUAAAAGACUUGAGCUCAAACAUCCUGGAAUUUGCUACAGAGUCUGCAAGUUGGGUCAGUGGUGCAUCAGCUGUCUGAGAAGAGAAAGCAAUGCCAACCUCCUUCCAUGAGAACAUGAAGGAACAGUCAUGCAUAGGAACCUGUGUCAGGUAGAAUCUCAGUUCGCUUGUGCUGGGGAAGCAGAUUUCCACACUGGAAGCAGUCUUAUGGAGAGGCCCGUGUGGCUCAGCAAGCAUUGAAGCCCUCAUCCCCACCGUCCAUGAGGAACUGGAGCCUGCCAAGGCCAUGUGAGUGCAAGUGGACCCCUCCCCAUCCAGCUUCCAGAUGAGACCACAGCCCUGGCUGGCUGUUUGACUACAACCUCAUGAAAGACCUUGAACCAGAGGCCUCCAGAUAAACUCUGCACAGAUUCCUGAUGCACAGAAACUGUGAGGUCGUGACCCCAGUGGGCCUGCGCUGUGGGAGCCAGAAUCCAGGUUCCCGUGGGAUGUGACAGCCGCCAUCCAGUGCUGCAACCUUGGCCUGUGGCCUGACUGGAAGGCUGGGUUGGCCUGCUCCCGGCCGUCGGUCACCACACAGCCUGUCCCAGUCGUUUGACACCGAUUCAGCACAGGCUGGUCCCCAAAGCAAACAUGCGAAAUAGUUUUAUGAACAGAUGACACAAUCUUGGAAUGGCCAAACAUUUGGGAUAAAGCUUUACAUACAGGACUACUUUUAGGUGAAUUGUUUCUCCUGCUCAUCAUACUGAUUUCCUGGUGGAAAGAAAAAUACUUCUAAACAGGGAAAAUGUUUUCAAAAGAGCAACUCUAAAUUUUCCCCUCAAGACUAAAAUGCCGUGUGCUCCUUGCCCCAUGCGGCAGCCUCUCUGCAGGAGGACUUCUUGGGCCUGUAAGCUUCAUGGUUCUGGGAACUUCCCACCUCAGGCACAGGGUUGGUCCCCCUCCCCUGGGCUACAGCUGGUUGGAUGAACCAUGACCUUCUGACCUAAGUGGGCCCAUCAGAUCACACGUCCUGGAAAUCGGGAACUGACGCUCAGGACUGACGAGGAACCUUGGAGCAGUGGUGGCUGCCAACUCCCACAUGGGCAAGAGAAGCAAAUGAUGGAGUCUGCCUGUGCAGGGAACAGAGUGGUCCGUGCGGGGAAGGGAACUGAGUGGUCCUGUGUGGGGAACAGAGUGGUCCAUGCAGGGAACAGAGUGAUCUGUGCACAUGGCCCAGCUCCACUCCUCCUUUGAUGUCAGGCAUCACCACAUAUUCUUAUAAUAAAGGCCCCCUAUUUUUAUGCCAGGACAAGUGGGUUGCUACUUCUUACAACCAAUGCCCCUACCUGCUAUGACCUUUACACUUUUUGGUAAAUAUGGGAUGUUAGAAAUUCACAGGCACGUUCCUGUGGACUGGGUUUGGGCUCACAGCUGAUAAUAUCUGGACUCCCUCCUGCACUCUCCUCACACUCUGAGCACCCCCCUUUCAUUCUUGGGGGUGGGAUGAGGUGAUGCAUGGUGGGAGGGUCUCCAAGCCUCAUGUGGGACCCCAGGAGGGCCCAGGCUUCCAUUGCACUUGGGGGAGAGGUGGGGUAGUCAUCACUCUGCCUGUCUUUCUCUCAAAAAUUAAAAAAUGUAAAAUGGGACUGUCUGUCUCUUUGCGUUUUGGAAGCUCUUAGAUGCAUGAAGGAAAGACUCCAUGAGGCUUUGGUUGAGAAGAAUGCGCUCACCUCGUGUCCCGUGUCUCACAGCUGUGAUUCACCCCAGGGACCACCCUAUUCUCCAUUGCCAGUGUGUCAGUGGCGUCCUGGCUGAAAUUUCCCUCAGGGAGACUUAGGGCUGUAAGAGGCCUUGGUGACUGUAUGCAUUGGCUUCUGCGUUUUAGAUGAGGAAGCCAAGGCUUUGAAAGAGAAGUUAAUUCCCUAAGUUACAGAACUAAUUAAAAGCAGAUUCUGGGGCUAAAACUCAAAUUUCCCGACUUCCAGUCCAAACUCUUCAUGGUCUUAACUAUUUUAAAUUACUUUUUAAUCAUAUAUCUCAGCCUUCACAAGAAGGCCUCUUUCCAGCUCAUCCUGAAUCAUUGCUUUGUGUUGCAUGCUUAACUGAAUUGUCUGUAUCUUUAGGACAGCUUAGAAUCAAAAGCCCUUUCUGGCAGAAUAAAUCCAGUUUUCAGAAGUUUCUCUCCAACUCAGCCAUAGGCAAUUUCUUCCUCCUAGACCGUAGGAAAUAAUUUUAAAUUUCCUGUUCCUUUUGUGUUUUCUUUUCUCCUCUCUGAUCCAAAGAAAACCAUAAAAGAUAUUACAACUAAUCAUGACUAGAAACAUUUCUACAUUAGCAGCAUGAAUCUUCGGGUUUGUCUAAUCAGAAGAAAUUGUCUUAAUAUUUACCUUUUAUGUAUGUAUUUAUCUGUUGUUUGUUUGGCAAAGCCUGUGCUUGAACAACAUUGAUAAAGUGCUGAGUUUGGGCUUGGAGUGUUUGCCCAAAUAUGCUUUCAAUACCCAAAAUCUUGGGCGAGUUUCCACAAACUGCUCAGCUGCAGCCGUAGGCUAACGUGAGAACAACUAGUUGGUAGUCCAUCCACACUGUGUUUCUUCCGUACUUGAGAGAAGAUGUCUGCUCACCAUCAGAAACCAGGACGACUCCCGAGAGCAGGUCACAUGAUGCUGCGUGUCGGCACUGCCUUCUGGGUACAGGAGGCUCUUCCUACCACCUGCCCUCGCCUUCCUCCCUUUCUUCCUGGAGACAGUUACCCGAGGAAACACCAAGUCAUCGAGCGUGUGUGCACGUGUGUGUGCAUCUGUGAACAUGUGCAUGUGUGUAAGAGUGUGUGUGAGCACAUGAACAUGUGUGCCCCUGUGUGUGCAUAUGUGAACGUGUGUGUGCCCGUGUGAGCCUGCAUAUGUGUUUGAGUGUUUUGGAUGCUCUGGUGUGAUAAUUGACUUAUAGAUCAAUAGGAAAGGAUACAUAAUCUUAAAAUUGCCCUAAACAGACGUAAGAACUUAAUUUAUAAUAAUGGCAGCAUCAUGCUCUAGUGUGGGAAAGGGUGAAUGUUGUAAAAGCUGGGGUUUGGGAAAGUCAAGUUUUGUUUGUAUCAGGUUGGAAUAUUAUCUCUAUUAUGUACCAAAAUAAUCUCCAGAUAUGUUGAGUUGUAUGUAAAAGUUUGAAUUUGGAAGGAACUUAGCAAUUUAUAGCUUAGAGGUGAUUAGUUGUAAAUGCACAUCAUCUCGCAUCUCAUUCUCUUGCAAAAAUACACCAAACUAAGACAAGAGAAUUCUGUUGAAAAAGCCACAAGGAUGAGAUAUAGAGGAGUGGAAUAAAAUAGCAAUAAAGUU